UACUUAUUGUACAAUUCUUAUUCUUUUAUUUUUUUUAAGAUAUUGUAUGGUUCUGUGAAGUUCAUGGGAUGGAUGUAGUGACUGAAUCAGUUUCUUUUAUAACACUGAACUGAUGGAGGAAGUUGCAGUUGGAAGAAUUUUAACUACAAAAGAAAAUUAGCUAGAGACAGAAAUCAAGAACAAAAUGGAUCAAUGUGGCAGUGACAUUGUUUUAUUUUUGUUGGCAGAUUUCAGUCGUUCUUUGUAAUGCUGGAAAACCUUGUGGCUUGCAGUCAGUUUGUUUAUAUGGAGGAACUUCUAAAGGACCCCAGAUGAAGCUGAUCGGAUGCUUGACAUGGGGUUUGAGCCAGAAGUUCGUUCUAUAUUGAGCCAAACAUGUUCUGAUCUCGCUCAAUCGGACGCUUCUUUUUGUUGCAUAACUCAGAUCUAUUUUGCAAGUUAUGGGUGCUAGCCGAGAAUAUUUAUACAAGUGAGGUUGAGAAUUUGAGAAGUGAAUUUGUUUUGAUAAUUUGUCUCUCUGGAAGAUGGAUAUGACUAUGGCUUUUCAAAACUUAUGGUUGGAAUAAUUUUCUUUUAAAUUUUUUUUGCUGUAACUUUGUUAGUAUGGUAGAAUAUUUUAUAAUUUUGAUUAUGAUUUGUAUUGCAAUAUAAAUAAAUCUAUAUUUUUAGAUAAAAAAUUAAUUGUGAUUUGAAUUUUUUUGGUUUUGUUUUUGAUAUGAUGAUCCUAUGGUGAUAAUAUUUGUCUAUUAUUAUGAAAA